AACGUUUUGAACAGUAAUCGAACGUUUUGAACAGUAAACAAGGGUUAUUUGGGUAUCUCAUACGCAUCUUCAUCCUCACUCCCCUGACCCCUUAACCCUGCCCUACACCCACCCUUGAAAGACAGAUGCCGUCAGUGGUUGCCGGCGGCGACAGAUGCCGUCAGGUGGUUACUGGCGGCCACACAUGUCUCCGCCCUAGGUAUAGAAAGAGGGAGCCGACCAUAGAAAAGGGAACUCCGGGGAAGUUCCGCCGACUGUGUUGGUGAGGCGGUGACCGGAGGGUCAUCACCGUCACACCACCACCACGGUCACCAUGUGUCACCCCAUUACAAUGUCAAAAGUAAGAGAGAGAGGGGGAGCGCUUUGGAUAGGAGAGGGGGAAAGACCUAGAGAGUGUACCGGAACAAUGCCGCCGUAGCAGACCGACAAAGAGGCCGAUGGUUGGGUUUAGCAGAUGAACGAUAGUGGUGGUGCAAGACUAGGUCAGCGACGGCUUAGGGUUUCAGUGUACAGUCGACAAACAAGCAACGGUGAGACGCAUCUCUCGUCCUCUUGCAGAACGGGCCAGAUCUGAUGAGGUACAGGUGACCGGUGAAAUGUGUCGGCUAGGGUUUCUAAGAUUCCGGUGAGUUCACUUUUUUAUUGGGUCGUGCUCUUUUCCUUUUUUGGAACAUGAUUUUUACAGAGAAAGCUAAUGAUCUCUUGCUUUUUUCCCCCUGCCCUAGGGGAUCUGCGAUAUGAACAAGUUUGACCCAACGCUUUAAAGUCCAAGUAGAUCUUCUAUCCCUGCUAAACUUUGGUACUCAAUUGUCAACAAAGAAGUCUAAUUUUGUCUGUUAAAGAAUCAAAUUAUGCAGCUUUGAGGUUUUAAUCCCUUAUCACUAGAAGAACGUUGCUGUUUUGUGAACAUUUUUUUCCAUAACUAACUGAUAGUCAUUUUCUGGCAUGAAAAUUCUUUACUGUUCAGGAAUUGUAAAUGAAAAGGUGACCCAUUUUGUCGAUAUAGCUAAAAUUAUUUUGUUAAAAAAAUAAAAUGUACGUUUGUGAGCAAAAUAAUAUCAAUUACUUAUAACAAUAUAUUUCACGAAAUAAAGGAAAAGAGCAAAAUGUGUUGAGAUAAUUCACAAUAAUAGUUUUUUCCUAUACAGUGAAACUUCCUUUGUGACAAACGAAGAACCUGAGAACUUAAGGAAUGUUAAAAACAUACAUAUGAAUUCACAUUAACCAUGCCAUAUUAAAAGUAAACCGUGUUUGCUGGAAAAAAGGAACAGCUUUGUAGGGGAAGGGAAUAGCUCUGUUCCAUCUACAUAUGUGUACCCCACAGCUCCGGUGUAUAGACGUUGACAAGAGUGGUCGAAAUUGGCUGGUCAAAUAAUUUAUAGCUAUUUAGGUUUCGAAUUUAAUUUCCAUAAUGCGAGACUGUAGUAUCCAGAUCUUAGAAGUGAAACUGAGAUUUUAUUCCUUUUGUUACCUGAUACUAAAUUAUUUAUCUUUAUGUCCAUUGGAUAUGUUGUAGUCAGGAUUUAACUAAUUUUCCGUUUUAUUUUAAGUGGCUGACGGAGGAUAGCAGCAGGAAGGCUGAAAUUGAUUUGCAUGAAUCGAAUGCUUCGUACGAAGGCCGAAAACAGGCCUACAAAUACUUCUAGCAGGGCGUUAGAGGUUGUGGAUUGGGCUCCAAAAAAGUUGACCUAUUUGCAGCUGAUUAGAAACCAAAUUCUUUCUCUAUAAGUUGUAACAAGGAAAGCUGGAAGAGUUCACAGUGCUGAGAUCGAGGGUGACAAUUGCCUUAUGCAAGCAAAGCUGCAAGACACCAGCUUCGCAGCACUAGAAGACCCUUGCCAAACUAGGGAUGAGGUGUACUGAAUGGGUUCGGUACGGUUUGGUACCGAUACUGAUACUGGUACGAUACUGGUUUGGCACCGGGUACCAUUCGCUCAUCCCUAUGCCAAACUACUCACGCACAGGAAAGGACGAUUCAACUCAUACGGUCAUACCAAAGGUUUCGUAAAGAAAUCGAACAACCUUCGAAACAUUGCAUACUCACAUUUUGUCUCUGAACAUUUUAAUACUUUAGCUCAUUCAUAUCUUCCAUUUCAAUAUGACACUUCUAUUGUUGUUAAACAUUUUGUCACAAUCUCUAAAGUUGUAAAUUAAUGUAUUUGUAUCAAUUUGAUCUAGCGGGUUGCAUUCACCUGUUAACAUUUGUACAAUAGAUUUUCCCGAGUUUGCGUUUGUGUGCCUAUACAGCUACAAGUUGAAGAAUUUCUGUCAUAAUGAGCCGAAUCAAUUCCUACCGAACAAUUGUCUUCCAUUGAUGUAAAUCAAAGGUUGUAUUCUUUUGAUUAUAUCACAAUUUUAUUUACUUA